rnacentral:rRNA from 1 species
UACGUAGGUGGCAAGCGUUGUCCGGAUUUACUGGGCGUAAAGAGCGCGCAGGCGGUCGUUCAAGUCGGAUGUGAAAGUCCCCGGCUCAACUGGGGAGGGUCAUUCGAUACUGAUCGACUCGAAGGCAGGAGAGGGAAGCGGAAUUCCCGGUGUAGUGGUGAAAUGCGUAGAUAUCGGGAGGAACACCAGUGGCGAAGGCGGCUUCCUGGCCUGUUCUUGACGCUGAGGCGCGAAAGCUAGGGGAGCAAACGGG